ACCCACCUCUUCAUGGAUCUAUGUGUACCAAUGAGCUCUGACCAGAAGCUGACCCAGGUCACUUGUUUUUGUGGCACCGGAGAUUGAACCAGAAGUACUCCAUCCACCUUAUCACCUAUACAUGGCAGAAUGGAAAACUUUGAUGGCUGAAAAUGUGUUUAUGACAUGAUGACUGCAAAUUUCCCUGUUAUUGGCUGGAAGAGGACAUUUCACAUGGGACACCAUCCUAGCUAUAAGUCAUUAAUGAGUCUCAGAUAAAUGAAUCAUACAUGGUAAAUACAUGAUGAUGAAAUGUAUAUACAUAUAUAUAUAUAAUGAUUUAUAUGUGUGUAUAUAAUACACUCCCCUCUCCUCAUUGCAUAUA